UUCUUUAAGAUAUUAUUUAAAGUAUCUCCUGCUCAGUGUUAAUCAACAUUAAUAAAUAGCCGCAGAAAUCUGUGCUAAGGUAGCGUAAUAAUUUGCUCUCUAAUUAAGAGACAGUAUGAAAGGAAAAACGUAAUGAAACUGUCUUUAUUUUUAAAAUUAAAUUAACUUUUAUGUAAAAAGGCAUAAAUAACCUAGCAAGACGACAAGACCCUGCCAAACUCUUCAUUUAGUUGGGGCGACAAAUUAAUGUACACCUUAUAUUCUAACACUCCACACACCUUUAAUAAAAAUUCUAGUUCAGUUACUGCAGGGAUAACAGCGCAAUACUUCCAUAAAGCUCUAAUUAAAAGAAAGUGUUUACGACCUCGAUGUUGAAUUAAUUUCCCUAAACGGUGUAAAAGCUGUUCAAGUUAGUCUGUUCGACUAUUAAUAAAUU
rnacentral:rRNA from 1 species